rnacentral:rRNA from 1 species
UACAGAGGGUGCAAGCGUUGUUCGGAAUUACUGGGCGUAAAGCGUGCGCAGGCGGUUCGUUAAGUCAGAUGUGAAAGCCCCGGGCUCAACCUGGGAACUGCAUUUGAAACUGGCGGGCUUGAGUAUGGCAGAGGGGGGUGGAAUUCCGCGUGUAGCAGUGAAAUGCGUAGAGAUGCGGAGGAACACCGAUGGCGAAGGCAGCCCCCUGGGCCAAUACUGACGCUCAGGCACGAAAGCGUGGGGAGCAAACAGG